GAUGAACGCUGGCGGCGUGCCUAAUACAUGCAAGUCGAGCGAACAGACGAGGAGCUUGCUCCUCUGACGUUAGCGGCGGACGGGUGAGUAACACGUGGAUAACCUACCUAUAAGACUGGGAUAACUUCGGGAAACCGGAGCUAAUACCGGAUAAUAUAUUGAACCGCAUGGUUCAAUAGUGAAAGACGGUUUUGCUGUCACUUAUAGAUGGAUCCGCGCCGCAUUAACUAGUUGGUAAGGUAACGGCUUACCAAGGCAACGAUGCGUAGCCGACCUGAGAGGGUGAUCGGCCACACUGGAACUGAGACACGGUCCAGACUCCUACGGGAGGCAGCAGUAGGGAAUCUUCCGCAAUGGGCGAAAGCCUGACGGAGCAACGCCGCGUGAAUGAUGAAGGUCUUCGGAUCGUAAAACUCUGUUAUUAGGGAAGAACAAAUGUGUAAGUAACUAUGCACGUCUUGACGGUACCUAAUCGGAAAGCCACGGCUAACUACGUG
rnacentral:rRNA from 1 species